UUCAUUCUAUAUCGCUACACUCAUAUAAUCGCGGAAAUAAGGUCCGCAAGUUUCUACCGGUUUACCGUAAAAAAACCGACUAUGGGUGCAAUGAAUGAAUAA
rnacentral:ncRNA from 1 species